AAGCCUGCCAGCCUUGUUCGCAUCACCUUAGGCCUUGACUACCACUACCAGAACUUGCAUCACGUCGAUCUCAAUUCUGAUCAUCAUCUUCUAGAGUCUAGACUCCAAACUCCAAAGCCCUAGCGCCGCCAUCCGCCAAAUUGCCAGCGAUCGCCGCCUCGCCAGUCGCCGCCGAUCUGUGCAUGCACUACGGAAGGUCCCGAGGAGUUGACGGGCUGACGGGGUGAAGGCUGACGCGUUGUUGAUCGCAGCCGGUUGCCGCUCGCCGCUCGAUGGCCACAGGCCAUCGUCGGAUCGUCCCUCUCCCUCAUGAUAAUAAUUCCGAUAACAAGUACUCAGCUCAAGGAUUGGAUCAACCGUGACAUCACUCUUUUUUAUUAGUGGAAGAAAUUGCAUCAGCCUUCUAUCCAUAAUUUGUGAUAACCAUGAAAUUCAGAAAGACUACAAUUGAUUUUUGGCUCAAGAAGAAAGAUGAUGUAGUUGAUGUACCAGAUGGUCCUGAACAAAAUUUUUCGGUGGAUCCUUCCCAAUGAUUUCAAGUCGUCCAACUAAUCGUGAUUAAUCGCGAUUAGUUGGGCUGGUCGGUAAUUGGUACACGAUUUGCUGGACGACUCGACCAGACAACCUAGUCGUUCUGGUCGUCCGACUAAUCGUCGACUAGGGCGACUAGUCGUCCGACUUAUGUGUCCUGGUCGUCCCGGCUAGGGUUUAGUUAUUGGACCUUUUUAAGCCCAUCUACAGUCACUGCACAUAUCCUCUUCUCUCAUAUUCUAACCUACCCGCCAACAGUCUCUGGCUCUCUGCAUGUCUCCUCUCCUCUCUUGCACCGCCCCUGCAGUCCUGGACUUUGAUUGACAACGGCUACACCGGCGGGCGGCGGCUACAACACCCUGCGUCCCUGCCCCUUCUCCUGGAGUCCUGCAGCCUGCUGCACUACUGCAGUCUCUAAUUUAUAUAAUGUAUACAGGUAUAUUUAUAUAUAUAUCUAUAUAAGUAUAGCUACUAAUAUAGAACGACCAGGGACUGACUAGGACCGACUAAGGGUUGACUAGUCACCCUAGUCGUCGCCUAAUCGCGACUAGUCGCCUGGUCGGUCCCAGGGUUCGACCAGGCGACUAGGCAACUUGAAAUCAUUGAUCCUUCCUGUGAAAUGGAUGAAGGUGCUGAUUGGCUUGCUGCACAAUUAGAAGAGGAACAGGAAGAACAUCAAGAAGAAGAAAUUUCAAGACAGAGACCGUCUAAAAUCCAGAGAGUUGAUCAUGAAGGUACUAGUGUUCUAGAAGUUGAACGAGGUCCAGGCCUACGUUGUCAAAUUUGGGAAUAUCCUCCUGAUGAACAUGAUCAAGUUGUUAAGGCAUAUAUGAUGCAUGGUCCAUACCAAUUGGUGAAGUAUGUAUACCCUCCUUCUGGUUCGACGAAACACCCAUGUAGGUUUUAGUCUCAUUGAUUUAAUGCUUUUCCUUGGUUGGAUUCACCCACAAAAGAUGCUGCAUUCUGCUUUCCAUGCUUUCUAUUUUCCAAGAAACCAGUUGGGAAAAGAGGAUCGACUACUUUUACAGUUGAAAGAUUUAGAAACCGAAAAAUAGGAUCGACCGCUUUUACAGUUGAAUGAUUGAAUUCAAUUGAUGAUGUUUGUUUGCUGGCUUUAAAGUUCUAUCCGAGUUAUUUUUCAGAACAAGAAAGAGAUAUUUUGAGAAGACAAUUGCAACUUAUGAACUUGAUGUACAUAGAAAUCCAAUGUUCGAAGAUUUGUCAACCAUCACCGAUCUUUGUUGCGGAAAAUCUAAAGAGUAUUAUUCAUUAUUUAACUUGUAAGUAUUAAUAAUUUUUGCUUUUUUGCAGGUUGGUUCGCUUGUUCUAACUCUACCAGUUUCAACUGCAACAACCGGGCGUGCAUUCUCUGCAAUGAAGCUUGUUAAGUCAAGACUUCAAAAUAAAAUGGAAGAUGAUUUUUUAAGAGAUUACUUGAUAAUCUACAUUAAGAAGGAGAUCGCCAUAGAGUUCACAACAGAUAUUGAUAGAUGACUUACAUGAUAUGGGAUCACGUAUAGUGUGACUUAAAUAAAAGGGUUUGUUUGUACUC